rnacentral:rRNA from 1 species
GGCGGCGUGCUUGAUAAUGCAAGUCAAGGAGAACAUUAUCUUCGGAUAAUAAGUAAACUGGCGAACGGGUGAGUAACGCGUAAACAACUUGCCUCAGAGAUUGGGACAACAUUGGGAAACCAGUGCUAAUACCAAAUAAUGCAGCGGGCUCUUCGGAGCACAGUUGUUAAAGUAGGCUUCGGCUUACACUUUGAGAUAGGUUUGCGUCCGAUUAGUUAGUUGGUAGGGUAAAAGCCUACCAAGACCAAGAUCGGUAGCUGGUCUGAGAGGAUGAUCAGCCACACUGGAAUUGAGAUACGGUCCAGACUCCUACGGGAGGCAGCAGUAAGGAAUUUUGCACAAUGGGCGAAAGCCUGAUGCAGCAACGCCGCGUGAACGAUGAAGUUUUUAGGAAUGUAAAGUUCUGUCGUAUGGGAAGAGAUCUUUCGAAUGUUAAUACCAUUCGUUAAUGACGGUACCAUACAAGAAAGCACCGGCUAACUUCGUGCCAGCAGCCGCGGUAAUACGAGGGGUGCUAGCGUNGUCCGGAUUUACUGGGCGUAAAGGGUACGUAGGCGUUUUAAUAAGUUGUAUGUUAAAUAUCUUAGCUUAACUAAGAAAAUGCAUCCAAAACUGUUAAAAUAGAGUUUGAGAGAGGAACGCAGAAUUCAUGGUGGAGCGGUGAC